rnacentral:rRNA from 1 species
GGCAAACGGGUGAGUAACACGUGGGUGACCUGCCUUCGAGUGGGGGAUAACGUUCCGAAAGGAGCGCUAAUACCGCAUGACAUCCUGCCUUUGGAAAGGCGGAGAUCGAAGCCGGGGAUCGUAAGACCUGGCGCUUGAAGAGGGGCCCGCGCCUGAUUAGCUAGUUGGUGGGGUAACGGCCCACCAAGGCGACGAUCAGUAGCCGGCCUGGGAGGGCGGACGGCCACACUGGGACUGAGACACGGCCCAGACUCCUACGGGAGGCAGCAGUGGGGAAUUGUUCGCAAUGGGCGCAAGCCUGACGACGCAACGCCGCGUGGAGGAUGAAGAUCUUCGGGUCGUAAACUCCUUUCGAUCGGGAAAAACGGCUUCCGGGUGAACAAUCCGGGAGAGUGAUGGUACCGAGAGAAGAAGCCCCGGCUAACUCCGUGCCAGCAGCCGCGGUAAUACGGGGGGGGCAAGCGUUGUUCGGAAUUACUGGGCGUAAAGGGCUCGUAGGCGGCCAACUAAGUCCGACGUGAAAUCCCCAGGCUUAACCUGGGAACUGCGUCGGAUACUGGAUGGCUUGAAUCCGGGAGAGGGAUGCGGAAUUCCAGGUGUAGCGGUGAAAUGCGUAGAUAUCUGGAGGAACACCGGUGGCGAAGGCGGCAUCCUGGACCGGCAUUGACGCUGAUGAGCGAAAGCCAGGGGAGCAAACGGGAUUAGAUACCCCGGUAGUCCUGGCCCUAAACGAUGAAUGCUUGGUGUGGCGGGUAUCGAUCCCUGCCGUGCCGAAGCUAACGCAUUAAGCAUUCCGCCUGGGGAGUACGGUCG